UGUGGCUCAGCUGCAGAGUGCCUGCCUAGCAUACAGGAGGCCCUGGGUUCCAUUCCCAGCA
rnacentral:tRNA from 1 species